ACGGCGAUAAGGGGACCUCGAGUGCCAGGUUACAAAUCUGGCUGUCGUGAUGCCUAAAAAGCAUUGCAUAGCAAGGGCCGGGCAAGACCGGUGCCAGCCGCCGCGGUAACACCGGCGGCUCGAGUGGUAACCGUUAUUAUUGGGUCUAAAGGGUCUGUAGCCGGCCGGAUAAGUCUCUUGAGAAAUCCAGCAGCUCAACUGUUGGGCUUUCAGGAGAUACUGUUCGGCUCGAGGCCGGGAGAGGUGAGAGGUACUUCAGGGGUAGGGGUGAAAUCUUGUAAUCCUUGAAGGACCACCAGUGGCGAAGGCGUCUCACCAGAACGGACCUGACGGCAAGGGACGAAAGCUAGGGGCACGAACCGGAUUAGAUACCCGGGUAGUCCUAGCCGUAAACGAUACUCGCUAGGUGUCGGCCACGGUGCGACCGUUGUCGGUGCCGUAGGGAAGCCG
rnacentral:rRNA from 1 species